rnacentral:rRNA from 1 species
UACGUAUGGGGCAAGCGUUAUCCGGAUUUACUGGGUGUAAAGGGAGCGUAGGCGGCAGGGCAAGCCUGAUGUGAAAGCCCGGGGCUCAACCCCGGGACUGCAUUGGGAACUGCCCUGCUGGAGUGCCGGAGGGGCAGGCGGAAUUCCUAGUGUAGCGGUGAAAUGCGUAGAUAUAUGGAGGAACACCGGUGGCGAAAGCGGCUCUCUGGCCUGUAACUGACACUGAGGCUCGAAAGCGUGGGGAGCAAACAGG